rnacentral:rRNA from 1 species
GACGAACCGUGCGAACGUUGUUCGGAAUCACUGGGCUUAAAGGGCGCGUAGGCGGCCCGCCGCGUCCGGGGUGAAAUCCUCCCGCUCAACGGGAGAACGGCCUCGGAUACGGGCGGGCUGGAGGCGGGUAGGGGCAGGCGGAACUGUGGGUGGAGCGGUGAAAUUCGUAGAUAUUCGCAAGAACACCAGUGGCGAAGGCGGCUCACUGGCCCGGUACUGACGCUGAGAUACGAAAGCGUGGGGAGCAAACAGG